rnacentral:tRNA from 1 species
GGAAUGUAGCUCAGUGGUACAGCAUCUGCCUGGCAAGCAUGAGUCCCUGAGUUCAAUUCUGAGCACCA